GAUAAAGUUAGGUUUACUUGUUUUAGUCAUUGUUAAUCUUUUAGGGAAAUUUGACAUUUACAUUUGUAUUGCAAGUAUGUUAAAUAGUUACACAGUUCUAUGAUAAUGUGGACUAACAGAGGUUUUACUUCCAUCCCUCUUCCAUCCAUUCUGGUUUUUUGCUUCCCCUAAAAGUACAUAUUAUUAAUUUGGAGGUUAUUUUUCUAUUAUUUAUUUUUUAACAUAAGCAAGUAGUCCAUAUGAAUAUUAAUAUUUUCACCACUUUCUUAGACUAAAAUUGGCAUCCUUGUUUUUUUAACUUUACACAGACCCUGGAUAAAACUCUACAUUAUGAGAAAGAUAGAUAGUUUCCUCAUUCAUUUUGCAUUUGUAACACUCUCAAAUAUGCAGACACACAUUAUUCUACUGAUAGACAUUGGAGCCUAUUUCAUUCUUUGGUCUAAGAGAUCAUACCACUAUAAAUAGUCUUGUCAAGGUUUUAUUUUGUAUUUUUGCCAGGAUAUUUUUAGAAUAGAGACAGGAUUGCUAAAUACACCAGGCACAGUUUGUACUCCCUUGAGAUCUGCCUUCUUCCCACUUCUGUGCAUUCCUCUCUCAGCUCUGUGAGUCUUCCUUUCUAAUGGCCUGCAGCUGUAACUGGAAGACUGCCCUAAAGAUACUGGAGCAGUUCUCUCUUGCAUGCUCAGAUUGCUAGAAGUACCUAGGAAUUUAUAUUCUUCCAGGGUUAGAAGGUGGGAGGAGAAUGGAACUCUCAAGAAAGUCACCCCAAGAUCUGUGGAUACUUUUCUGAAAAAAAAAUUAACUCAUAAGCUUACAAUAAACCAAACCUGUAUUUCUUAUCUGAAACAUUCAGGCAAGGCUACAAUGACAAAGCAGCCAUCUACUCACCAGAAAUCAGAGCUCCCAGCACCUUCAUCUUGGACAUUCCAGCCUCCAGAUCUGUGAAAAAUAAAUGUUUGUUGUUUAAGUCACCCAGGCUAUUUUAAUUUGUUAUAGCAGCCUAAUGUGGGUUGGCUGUGACCCCACCCAAAUCUCACCUUGAAUUGUAAUAAUCUUCAGGUAUCCUGGGAAGGACCCAGUGGGUGGUAAUUGAAUCAUGGGAUGGGUUUUUCCAUGGUGUUCUCAUGAUAGUGAAUAAGUCUCAUGAGAUCUGAUGGCUUUAUAAAGGGUAGUUCCCCUGCACACACUCUCUUGAGGGCCACCAUGUAAAAUGUGCCUUUGCUUCUUCUUCACCUUCCACCAUGAUUGUGAGACCUCCCCAGCCAUGUGGAACUGUGAGUCCAUUAAAUCUCUUUUUCUUUAUAAAUUACCCACUCUCAGGUAUUUCUUCAGAGCAGUAUGAAAAUGGACUAACACACAGCCCAAACUAACUAGGUCAUCUCCUCUACAAGUUGCAGUCUUAUAAAGGCAGCCCUGUGGUGGGGGAGAUGAAGAUGGAGAAGUGGGUAGGGACCUGAGCAUGCAAUUUAUGGUGGUGUCUGGAUUUCAUUCA
rnacentral:lncRNA from 1 species